rnacentral:lncRNA from 12 species
GGGGGGGGGGGGGGGGGUUUUUUUUUUUUUUUUUUUUUUUUUUUUUUAAUUAGUUUAUUUGCCAAGCAUCAAGACAAAGUAACACCCUCUUAGGUUUUUCACCCUCUCUGCUCAGCGCUCGCUGGAAAUUUAGGGUCUUUAACAGAGGCUGUGCUGCCGGGGAAUGUCGCCAAGUGCGAUCCAGGACAUCCCUGAGCAUCCUCACGGAGCUGGAUGGGCACUGAGUGUUCCUCCAGCUGGACCAGCAACAGUAAAUAAAUCCCUCCCGGGAUUCUGCUGCCUCAGGAUUUUACAGCUCCCGACAACAGCGGUGCGAAGCCCUGCGACCGCGGGACACUGCAGAUGCCAUUAUUUUAUAUCAAAACGAAACGAGCAGGGCCUGAAGGGGAAAAGCGGUGUCCAGAUCCACACCCGGACAGCUUGGGGGUCUCAGAGACCAGAGGGGGCACCCGGGACGUGUCCCCAGGUGCGUGCCCACCCGCGUUCCCCACGGGCGGGAGCAGCGCUCGCAUCCCCAACUUUGCUCGGGAUGCUGGCGGCCAGGCGAGCCACCCGCGGGGAGGGCAGCGAACACCUUUCGGGGAUGGAGGAGAAACACCUUCUGGGGCAAAGGAACGCGGCAUAGUUCAGCCUUUUGUAAGAUCAAGGAAAAAAUAUUUUUUUCUGGCACCAAGAAGAAAUACUCUUCAAACUCGUGAGGUUCCAG